rnacentral:rRNA from 1 species
CAGUAGCCGCGGUAAAACAGAGGGUGCGAGCGUUAAUCGGAUUUACUGGGCGUAAAGCGUGCGUAGGCGGCUUUUUAAGUCGGAUGUGAAAUCCCUGAGCUUAACUUAGGAAUUGCAUUCGAUACUGGGAAGCUAGAGUAUGGGAGAGGAUGGUAGAAUUCCAGGUGUAGCGGUGAAAUGCGUAGAGAUCUGGAGGAAUACCGAUGGCGAAGGCAGCCAUCUGGCCUAAUACUGACGCUGAGGUACGAAAGCAUGGGGAGCAAACAGGAUUAGAGACCCGCGUAGUCCCUGUCUCUUAUAC